CACUAGUGAUUCUCCUGGAAACGGGUGGUAAUGCCGGAUGCUCCAGUCCAUCGCAUGGUGGUCUGGGAAAGAUUUCAUCGGUAUGGGAUGGGGUCGCGUCCUAUCAGGUAGUCGGCGGGGUAACGGCCCACCGAGCCUACGACGGGUAGCCGGCCUGAGAGGGCGACCGGCCACAUUGGGACUGAGAUACGGCCCAGACUCCUACGGGAGGCAGCAGUGGGGAAUAUUGCACAAUGGGCGCAAGCCUGAUGCAGCGACGCCGCGUGCGGGAUGACGGCCUUCGGGUUGUAAACCGCUUUUGAUCGGGAGCAAGCCUUCGGGUGAGUGUACCUUUCGAAUAAGCACCGGCUAACUACGUGCCAGCAGCCGCGGUAAUACGUAGGGUGCAAGCGUUAUCCGGAAUUAUUGGGCGUAAAGGGCUCGUAGGCGGUUCGUCGCGUCCGGUGUGAAAGUCCAUCGCUUAACGGUGGAUCCGCGCCGGGUACGGGCGGGCUUGAGUGCGGUAGGGGAGACUGGAAUUCCCGGUGUAACGGUGGAAUGUGUAAAUAUCGGGAA
rnacentral:rRNA from 1 species